UACAGAGGUCUCAAGCGCUGUUCGGAUUCAUUGGGCGUAAAGGGUGCGUAGGUGGCGGGGCAAGUUUGGUGUGAAAUCCCGGGGCUCAACCUCGGAACUGCACUGAAUACUGCCUUGCUAGAGCACUGGAGAGGGAACUGGAAUUUACGGUGUAGCAGUGAAAUGCGUAGAUAUCGUAAGGAAGACCAGUGGCGAAGGCGAGUUCCUGGACAGUUGCUGACACUGAGGCACGAAGGCUAGGGGAGCAAACGGG
rnacentral:rRNA from 1 species